rnacentral:rRNA from 1 species
CCUACGGGCGGCAGCAGUGAGGAAUAUUGGUCAAUGGACGAGAGUCUGAACCAGCCAAGUAGCGUGAAGGAUGACUGCCCUAUGGGUUGUAAACUUCUUUUAUAUGGGAAUAAAAUGUUCCACGUGUGGGAUUUUGUAUGUACCAUAUGAAUAAGGAUCGGCUAACUCCGUGCCAGCAGCCGCGGUAAUACGGAGGAUCCGAGCGUUAUCCGGAUUUAUUGGGGUUAAAGGGAGCGUAGGUGGAUUGUUAAGUCAGUUGUGAAAGUUUGCGGCUCAACCGUAAAAUUGCAGUUGAAACUGGCAGUCUUGAGUACAGUAGAGGUGGGCGGAAUUCGUGGUGUAGCGGUGAAAUGCUUAGAUAUCACGAAGAACUCCGAUUGCGAAGGCAGUUCACUGGACUGCAACUGACAUUGAUGCUCGAAAGUGUGGGUAUCAAACAGGAUUAGAUACCCGAGUAGUC